GACGGGGGGUGCAAGCGUUGUUCGGAAUCAUUGGGCGUAAAGCGUGUGCAGGUGGCUUUACAAGUCAGAUGUGAAAGCCCCGGGCUUAACCCGGGAAGUGCAUUUGAAACUGUAAAGCUUGAGUAUGGAAGAGGGUCGUGGAAUUCCUGGUGUAGUGGUGAAAUACGUAGAUAUCAGGAGGAACACCGGUGGCGAAGGCGGCGACCUGGUCCAAUACUGACACUCAUACACGAAAGCGUGGGGAGCAAACAGG
rnacentral:rRNA from 1 species